rnacentral:lncRNA from 1 species
AUGGCAAAGCUGCCUGGGGGCCUUCAGCCUGCUUCUAAGGGAGGAGCAGCCUGGUGCCCUUGCCCCAUCUCAGCCCAGCCACUCCCUGUACUGCCUACUUCUGACCCAGUGCUGCCUCCCUGGCACUGGGGAGCUGAGAGAAGAGAGCGUCAGCAGGAGUACCCAUUCCUCCACUGCCCCACUUCUGACGACUGGUCCCUUAAUGGCACAAUCCAGUUCUCCAUUUACCUGAAAGUCCAGGGCUCAGAAGACCCUAUGCUGAUGCAGGUGGCAUACCCCUGGCUGUGGACUGGGGAAGGGCUUGGAGCCCUUGAUGAGACUCAGCUGGGCCUGCAAUGUUGUCUGCUGCCCCUGACCGAGGGCCUGGCUCCCACCCAGGAUUUCUGUGCAUGCACUGCCUGGGUCAUGGCUCCCACCCUUCUGCCACUGAGGGCAGAUCUGAAGUGCAGGGUAGCUGUCCACAGUAUGGGGCUGAUGGGUGAGGAGAUCUGGGAUCAGGUACCUGGGGCAGUGAGAAAGGCUGGCCUGCUCAAAGGGAGCACCCGGGACCAUCCUCAAACCUGGGGUUUGCCUUUCUAUAUAAAGCUGUGCGAAAGAAAGAAAAAGAAAGAAAGAGAAAGAAAGAAAGAAAGAAAGAAAGAAAGAAAGAAAGAAAGAAAGAAAGAAAGAAGAAAGAAAGAAAAGAAAGAAGAAAGAGAGAAAGAAAGAAAGAAAAAGAAAGAAAGAAAGAAAGAAAAGAAAGAAAAAGAAGGAAGAAAGAAAGGAAGAGAGAGAGAAAGAAAAAGGAAGGAAGGAAGGAAGGAAGGAAGGAAGGAAGGAAGGAAGAAAGAAAAAGAAAAAGCUAGCUGUGCUCAGGCCUCAGACCACUGGGCAGGACCUAACCAUGACUGUGCCUUUCACCCACUGACGUGGCACCUGGCACAAUGGGACCCAGCAGGUCUUAACAUUUGCAGGGAGAAACCGAGGCAGAGAGCAUGCUUACUCCCAGUGGCCCAAGCCUAG